GUGCCAGCCGCCGCGGUAAUACGAAGGGUCCAAGCGUUAUCCGGAUUUAUUGGGUUUAAAGGGUGCGUAGGCGGGUUGUUAAGUCAGUGGUGAAAUCUUGCAGCUUAACUGUAAAAUUGCCAUUGAUACUGACGAUCUUGAGUACACUUGAAGUGGGCGGAAUAUGUCAUGUAGAGGUGAAAUUCUUAGAGAUGACAUAGAACACCGAUUGCGAAGGCAGCUCACUAAAUUGUAACUGACGCUGAGGCACGAAAGCGUGGGGAUCAAACAGGAUUAGAAACCCCCGUAGUCC
rnacentral:rRNA from 1 species